rnacentral:rRNA from 1 species
UACGGGGGGUGCAAACGUUGCUCGGAAUCAUUGGGCGUAAAGCGCACGUAGGCGGUCCCUCAAGUCGGGUGUGAAAGCCCUCGGCUUAACCGAGGAAGUGCAUUCGAAACUAGGGGACUUGAGUACUGGAGAGGAUGGCGGAAUUCCCGGUGUAGAGGUGAAAUUCGUAGAUAUCGGGAGGAACACCAGCGGCGAAGGCGGCCAUCUGGACAGAUACUGACGCUGAGGUGCAAAAGCGUGGGGAGCAAACAGG